CCCUCACAGUCACUCUUGCACAGGUGCUUCAGCAGUUAGCAAAACAUAUUUACUUUGCUUUGUUUCUUUGUGGAACACAUAUCUCCUAUUGUGGACCUUCUUUUGCAUCUGUCUUUUUAGCAUAAAUAAGUGUCUUUAUCAAGGAGGCACAUCAAAGUACUACCUACCACUGCCAAUAUCGUGUGUUGGGCUUCAGAUGAUCCAGUAAAGUGUUUUACUUUAUUGGCUGCAAGGGCUACUGUUUUCUACCACAGUUUAACCUGGAGUCACAAGCAGGAUCACAAUACUCAGAGGACCUGAAGAAUCGUACCAGGAGGGACCACUGCUGGUUGUCCACUUACAGAGGACCUUGUUACCAAAUUUAAAAUGGAUUUCUGGAUUGGUCUAACUGAUCGAGACACAGAAGGGACCUGGAAGUGGGUGGACGACACAACCCUUUCCAAAGAGACAUGGUUCUGGGAACCUAAACAGCCUUAUGACUACAAAGGAGAUGAAGAUUGUGUGGGGUCCAGGAAUGACUACAAUGAACUUUCAAAAAAAUUGAAUGACUUUCAUUGCAAUGAAAUGCUGCACUAGAUUUGUGAAAAAAGUGUCAGUCAUUAUAGUACAUAGUUACCCAUAACAGAAUGUUCAAAAACAUGCAGAUGUACGCAAACAUGCAUUAAUUUCCCCCCAUUACUGCGAUAACUGAAAAUUAAUGUUUGCAAUUUACUUACAAAAUAUUUAACUUUUUCAAGGAAGCAGAAGUUUGAGGACAAAUGUAUUUUAUAUGCAUAUAAUUACUUUUCAUGUAUCAAACCAAUUUAUUUGUGCUACAUGUGCAUAUAUCUGGCUAGAUCAUGUGCAUAAUGUAUAGAUCAUAUCUGCUUUAAUACUAGUAUGAUAUAAAAGAUCUACUCUUAUGCUUCACUUUGCUUCUGUUUGUAUAUAUGAUGUGUUGUCCUGUUGUGCAGCAUAGUGUUUGUACAAUGAUGAACAUGUUAAUUUUGCUAAAACACCUUUCCUGAAGCUUGUUAUGAGAUACAUCAGUAGCAGGUGCUCAGGCCCGAUAAAAGAAAGUUUGACAGAUGAUGGUGAAAUUGAUUUAUUUUGGGUGCAGAAGUGUAGACGCAAGUGUAGCUAUUGUGGUAUACAUAUAGUGUGCUUUGGUGGUUUUUUUUUUUUUGGAGUAUGAAAAUAGAUAGAGAAGAUAAAUAAAUAGUAUAUAUGUA